UGUUGGUCUCGCGAGGUUUCCCCGCAGGCCGGAGGGGGGAGCUGGAGUGAGCCGGGUGCGGACAGGGACGGGGAGUCGUCCGGCCGCCCCCGGGACAAUGGACAAGAGGGAAGAGUCCAGAGGUCACCUGGACCCACCGGCCGCCUUCGGAGCCCCCAGACCCCCCAGUCCUAGGGGGCUGAUCCCUCCCUCCCAUUUCCAGAGCCGGUCGGCGCCGCCCCUGGCUGCUUCUGGAGCGGUGUCCUGGAGGGCCGGGCCGCCCUGUUGGCAGCCCCAGGAGCUCAAAGAGCUGAGGCAGGAGAACCAGCGCCUCAGAGAUGAGCUGCACAGAUGGACAGCAGGGGGCGCC